rnacentral:rRNA from 1 species
UACAUGUGGGGCAAGCGUUGUUCGGAAUUACUGGGCAUAAAGGGUGCGUAGGCGGUGCGGUAAGUCUGCUGUGAAAUCUCCGGGCUCAACUCGGAGUCUGCAACGGAAACUGCCGUGCUUGAGUAUGGGAGAGGUGAGUGGAAUUCCCGGUGUAGCGGUGAAAUGCGUAGAGAUCGGGAGGAACACCAGUGGCGAAGGCGGUCUGCUGGGCAGUUGCUGACACUGAGGCACGACAGCGUGGGGAGCAAACAGG